UACGUAGGUGGUAAGCGUUGUCCGGAUUUAUUGGGUUUAAAGGGUGCGUAGGCGGCCCUGUAAGUCAGUGCUGAAAUAUCCCGGCUUAACCGGGAGGGUGGCAUUGAUACUGCGGGGCUAGAGUACAGAUGAGGUAGGCGGAAUUGACGGUGUAGCGGUGAAAUGCUUAGAUAUCGUCAAGAACACCUAUAGCGAAGGCAGCUUACUAGGCUGUAACUGACGCUGAGGCACGAAAGUGUGGGGAUCAAACAGG
rnacentral:rRNA from 1 species